rnacentral:rRNA from 1 species
GACGAACGCUGGCGGCGUGCUUAACACAUGCAAGUCGAGCGGUAAGGCCCUUUCGGGGGUACACGAGCGGCGAACGGGUGAGUAACACGUGGGUGACCUGCCCUCAGCUCUGGGAUAAGCCUGGGAAACGUGGGUCUAAUACCGGAUAUGACUCCAUGACGCAUGUUGUGGGGUGGAAAGCCUUGUGCGGCUGAGGAUGGGCCCGCGGCCUAUCAGCGUUGUUGGUGGGGNGAUGGCCUACCAAGGCGACGACGGGUAGCCGGCCUGAGAGGGCGACCGGCCACACUGGGACUGAGACACGGCCCAGACUCCUACGGGAGGCAGCAGUGGGGAAUCUUGCGCAAUGGGCGAAAGCCUGACGCAGCGACGCCG